rnacentral:rRNA from 1 species
GUGGGGAAUAUUGGACAAUGGGCGAAAGCCUGAUCCAGCCAUGCCGCGUGAGUGAUGAAGGCCUUAGGGUUGUAAAGCUCUUUCGCCGAGGACGAUAAUGACGGUACUCGGAUAAGAAGCCCCGGCUAACUUCGUGCCAGCAGCCGCGGUAAUACGAAGGGGGCUAGCGUUGUUCGGAAUUACUGGGCGUAAAGCGUAUGUAGGCGGGUCGUUAAGUUAGGGGUGAAAUCCCAAGGCUCAACCUUGGAACUGCCCUUGAUACUGGCGAUCUUGAGUCCGGGAGAGGUGAGUGGAACUGCGAGUGUAGAGGUGAAAUUCGUAGAUAUUCGCAAGAACACCAGUGGCGAAGGCGGCUCACUGGCCCGGUACUGACGCUGAGAUACGAAAGCGUGGGGAGCAAACAGGAUUAGAUACCCCGGUAGUCC